rnacentral:rRNA from 1 species
GACGAACGCUGGCGGCGCGCCUAACACAUGCCAGUCGAACGAGCGAGCGAGACCUUGCUUUCUUGAGCGAGUGGCGAACGGGUGAGUAACGCGUGAGGAACCUGCCUCACAGUGGGGGACAACAGCUGGAAACUACUGCUAAUACCGCAUAAGCGCACCACCCGGCAUGGGGGUGAGGGAAAAGGAGCGAUGCGCUUUGAGCUGGCGUCGCUUCCGAUUAGGUAGUUGGUGAGGUAACGGCCCACCAAGGCGACGAGCGGUAGCCGGACUGGGAGGUGGAACGGCUACAAUGGGAAUGAGACACGGCCCCGAAUCCGACGGGAGGCAGGAGUGGGGAAUAUUGCGCACUGGGGCAAACCCUGAUGCCGCGGCGUGGCGUGGAGGAAGAAGGGCGUCGGAUUGUAAACUCCUGUUUUAGAGGAAGAGAAUGACGGUACUCAGCAAAGAAGCGACGGCUAACUACGUG